UACAGAGGUCCCAAGCGUUGUUCGGAUUCACUGGGCGUAAAGGGUGCGUAGGUGGUGGGGUAAGUCUGAUGUGAAAUCUCCGAGCUCAACUCGGAAAUGGCAUUGGAAACUACCCCGCUUGAGGGUUGGAGGGGGGACUGGAAUACUUGGUGUAGCAGUGAAAUGCGUAGAUAUCGAGAGGAACACCAGUGGCGAAGGCGAGUCUCUGGACGACUCCUGACACUGAGGCACGAAAGCUAGGGGAGCAAACAGG
rnacentral:rRNA from 1 species